GACGACUGCGAGCGUGGACCUGCCUUGG
rnacentral:sRNA from 1 species